AUUCCAGCUCCAAUAGCGUAUAUUAAAGUUGUUGCGGUUAAAAAGCUCGUAGUUGGAUUUCUGUUGAGGACUGCCGGUCCAUGUUUUGCAUGAGAAUCGGUCUGGCCUCGGCAUCCUCUUGGGAAACGUGCUGCGCUUCACUGCGUGGCACGGUUUUCAAGACUUUUACUUUGAGGAAAUUAGAGUGUUCACGGCAGGCUGUCGCCCUGAAUACAUUAGCAUGGAAUAAUACUAUAGGACCUCGGUUCUAUUUUGUUGGUUUCUAGGACUGAGGUAAUGAUUAAUAGGAACGGUUGGGGGCAUUCGUAUUAACACGUCAGAGGUGGAAUUCUUGGAUUGUGUUACGACGAACUACUGCGAAAGCAUUUGCCAAGGAUGUUUUCAUUA
rnacentral:rRNA from 1 species